rnacentral:rRNA from 1 species
CGUCGAACAACACAACAGAGGUCAGUGUAGUACGUAGGGGUCAAUAGUUAAGAGUAAUUAUUGUGCGUAAAGCGUACGCAUGCGGUUAUAUAAGGCAAAUGUGAAAGCCCCGGUCUCAACCUGUGAUAUGCAGUUGUGACUGUAUAGGUAGAGGACGGCAGAGGGGGAUGGAAUUCCGCGUGUAGCAGUGAAAUGCGUAGAUAUGCGGAGGAACACCGAUGGCGAAGGCAAUCCCCUGGGCCUGUACUGACGCUCAUGCACGAAAGCGUGGGGAGCAAACAGGAUUAGAACCCCAGUAGUC